GGAAUAUUGGACAAUGGGGGAAACCCUGAUCCAGCAAUGCCGCGUGAGUGAAGAAGGCCUUAGGGUUGUAAAGCUCUUUCGCCCGCGAAGAUAAUGACGGUAGCGGGAGAAGAAGCCCCGGCUAACUCCGUGCCAGCAGCCGCGGUAAUACGGAGGGGGCUAGCGUUGUUCGGAAUUACUGGGCGUAACGCGUACGUAGGCGGAUGCGCAAGUUGGGGGUGAAAUCCCGGGGCUUAACCUCGGAAUUGCCCUCAAAACUGCACGUCUUGAGACCGAGAGAGGUAAGGGGAAUUCCUAGUGUAGAGGUGAAAUUCGUAGAUAUUAGGAAGAACACCAGUGGCGAAGGCGCCUUACUGGCUCGGUACCGACGCGGAGGUACGAAAGCGUGGGGAGCAAACA
rnacentral:rRNA from 1 species